GAUGAACGCUGGCGGCGUGCCUAAUACAUGCAAGUCGAGCGAACGGACGAGAAGCUUGCUUCUCUGAUGUUAGCGGCGGACGGGUGAGUAACACGUGGAUAACCUAUCUAUAAGACUGGGAUAAAUUCGGGAAACCGGAGCUAAUACCGGAUGAUAUUUUGUACCGCAUGGUCCAAAAGUGAAAGAAGGUCUUGCUGUCACUUAUAGAUGGAUCCGCGCUGCAUUAGCUAGUUGGUAAGGUAACGGCUUACCAAGGCAACGAUGCAUUGCCGACCUGAGAGGGUGAUCGGACACACUGGAACUGAGACACGGUCCAGACUCCUACGGGAGGCGACAGUGGGGAAUCUUCCGCUAUGGGCGAAAGCCUGGCGGAGCAACGCCGCGUGAGUGGUGAGGGUCUUCGGAUCGUAAAACUCUGUUAUUAGGGAAGAACAUAUGUGUAAGUAACUGUGCACAUCUUGACGGUACCUAAUCAGAAAGCCACGGCUAACUACGUG
rnacentral:rRNA from 1 species